UGGGGAAUAUUGCACAAUGGGCGCAAGCCUGAUGCAGCCAUGCCGCGUGUAUGAAGAAGGCCUUCGGGUUGUAAAGUACUUUCAGCGGGGAGGAAGGGAGUAAAGUUAAUACCUUUACUCAUUGACGUUACCGACAGAAGAAGCACCGGCUAACUCCGUGCCAGCAGCCGCGGUAAUACGGAGGGUGCAAGCGUUAAUCGGAAUUACUGGGCGUAAAGCGCACGCAGGCGGUUUGUUAAGUCAGAUGUGAAAUCCCCGGGCUCAACCUGGGAACUGCAUCUGAUACUGGCAAGCUUGAGUCUCGUAGAGGGGGGUAGAAUUCCAGGUGUAGCGGUGAAAUGCGUAGAGAUCUGGAGGAAUACCGGUGGCGAAGGCGGCCCCCUGGACGAAGACUGACGCUCAGGUGCGAAAGCGUGGGGAGCAAACAGG
rnacentral:rRNA from 1 species